rnacentral:rRNA from 1 species
CCCUUGGAUGUCCUGGGCCGCACGCGUGCUACACUGACACCUGCAGCGAAUACUUCCCAGCCCCGAGAGGUGGCUGGUAAUCAGCAAUAGGUGUCGUGAUGGGGAUAGAUCUUUGGAAUUAUGGAUCUUGAACGAGGAAUGCCUAGUAAGCGUAGGUCAUUAGCCUACGCUGAUUAAGUCCCUGCCCUUUGUACACACCGCCCGUCGCUCCUACCGAUUUCGAGUGGUCCGGUGAAUCUUUCGGACUGCGCAGAGCUUCGUGCUUUGUCGCGGAAAGUCAGGUAAACCUUAUCACUUAGAGGAAGGAGAAGUCGUAACA